AGCCACUCAGACGUAACAAGAUGAUCUCACAGGCUCAGCUCAUCUGGCUGUUAAUGCUCUGGAUCCAGGGCUCCAGUGGGCAGAUUGUGAUGACUCAGACUCCAGAAUCCCUGGCAGUGUUGCCAGGAGACAGAGUCAUUAUCAACUGCAAAGCCAGUUCCAGCAUCACCAGUGGUAGCACUCACUACUUAGCUUGGUACCAACAGAAAGCAGGACAAGCUCCGAAGCUCCUUAUCUACUAUGCUUCCACCCGUGACUCUGGGAUCCCAGACCGGUUCACAGGCAGUGGAUCUGGAACCGAUUUCACUCUCACAAUCAGCAAUGUUCAAGCUGAAGAUGCUGGAGAUUAUUAUUGUCAGCAAGGCUAUAACUUACCUCUCACAGUGAUACAGACAAAUACAAAAACCUCCCUCUUCUGUUCCAUUCUGUGUCACAGCUGCUUCCUUCAAACAGCCGCCUUCUCAGUGCAAAUGCUAUAUGUUAUUUGAGGGCAAACUUUCAGCCCCAGAAACACAUAUACCUGCUGUCUCCACAUGUAAUACACAUAAAUUAGCACACAGUCUGCUGCCAGAGAAACUUCCCUCCACACAGAAGAGUUUUUAACUUCUACACAACCACAGUGGUAUUUUUUUUUAUUUCUGGCUUUUAAUUACUUUACUCACCUCCUAAUUACUGUCAUCUGGUGUCUGUGCCUUGUCGUGGAGGGACAGCUUGUAUGCUCUAACGAUUCCCAGAGUUUCUGUCGGUGGGGGCUUUUUGCUCCUGGUAGGUUCAACCAGGCCGGAUUGGUCUGUGGGGGAGAGGCCAGACAAAACAGACACCCUGGUCCUCCAGUUGAGGGUUAGGCACAGGGCUAACAACCCUGUCCCGUAAAAAACAAAAUAUGUUACAGAACCACAGCAGAGAAAUUAGUGUGUGUGAUGGCUUUCAGGAGUCAAUGACCUGUAAGACUAUCAGUGGUGAAAGCCGAAAGGAAGCCACUGGCAUGAAGACUGAACUGCUCAACACCAAGACAAAAACCAAACUUGGUAAUUGGAACGUAUGGACAAUGUCUGAAACAGGGAAGCUAGCUCAGGUCCCAGCACAGAUGAGACGCUACAGCUUACACAUCCUGGGUGUCAGCGAGAGGAGAUGGACAGAAUCAGGAAGAUUAUCAACAGCCUCAGGAGCAACUUUGCUUUUUUCUGGAUGGGAUGAUGGACAACAUCAUGAGGGGGUUUCUGUCCUUUUUAAGAAGGGAGUGGAGCAUUCCCUGCUUGAAUGGAAAUGCAUCAGCUGCAGACUUAUGAGAGCCAGACUGAAAGGGAAACAUAAUAAUAUCACCCAAAUUCCUAAUAUCUAACUUAAAUCUCCCCUGCUGCUGAUUAUGCCCAUUACUUCUCAUCCUGCCUUGAGCAGACCUGGAAAACAAUUGAUCACAGGCCUCUUUAUAACAGCCCUUAACAUUAUUGAAGACACUUGUCCUGUCCCUUCUCUGUCUUCAUUUCUCAACACGACAUUU